AGCUUUCUGUAGUUUAUAAAUUUGUUGAUGGGGUUUCCAUGCCAUUACAUGAAAUAGGCUCCCUCAAACCUAUUUAUGAUGUUGGCAUAUUUCCCUUCUGGCA